rnacentral:rRNA from 1 species
AGAAUCAACGCUGGCGGCGUGCCUAACACAUGCAAGUCGAACGAGAAAGUGGAGCAAUCCAUGAGUAAAGUGGCGCACGGGUGAGUAACACGUGACUAACCUACCCUUGAGUGGGGGAUAACCUAGGGAAACCUGGGCUAAUACCGCAUAAUACCUUCGGGUCAAAGGAGCAAUUCGCUUAAGAGGGGGUCGCGGCCGAUUAGUUAGUUGGCGGGGUAAUGGCCCACCAAGACUGUGAUCGGUAU